rnacentral:rRNA from 1 species
UGGGGAAUAUUGGACAAUGGGCGCAAGCCUGAUCCAGCCAUGCCGCGUGAGUGAUGAAGGCCCUAGGGUUGUAAAGCUCUUUCACCGGUGAAGAUAAUGACGGUAACCGGAGAAGAAGCCCCGGCUAACUUCGUGCCAGCAGCCGCGGUAAUACGAAGGGGGCUAGCGUUGUUCGGAAUUACUGGGCGUAAAGCGCACGUAGGCGGAUUGUUAAGUGAGGGGUGAAAUCCCAGGGCUCAACCCUGGAACUGCCUUUCAUACUGGCAAUCUAUAGUCCAGAAGAGGUGAGUGGAAUUCCGAGUGUAGAGGUGAAAUUCGUAGAUAUUCGGAGGAACACCAGUGGCGAAGGCGGCUCACUGGUCUGGAACUGACGCUGAGGUGCGAAAGCGUGGGGAGCAAACAGG